rnacentral:rRNA from 1 species
GACAGAGGGUGCAAACGUUGUUCGGAUUUACUGGGCGUAAAGCGCGUGUAGGCGGCUUUGCAAGUCGGAUGUGAAAUCCCACGGCUCAACCGUGGAAGUGCAUCCGAAACUGCAUCGCUGGAGUCUCGGAGAGGAAGGUGGAAUGCUUGGUGUAGAGGUGAAAUUCGUAGAUAUCAAGCAGAACACCUGCGGCGAAGGCGGCCUUCUGGACGGUAACUGACGCUGAGACGCGAAAGCGUGGGUAGCAAACAGG